rnacentral:rRNA from 1 species
UACAGAGGGGGCAAGCGUUGUUCGGAAUUACUGGGCGUAAAGGCGCGUAGGCGGCCUGUUAAGUCGAACGUGAAAUCCCCCGGCUUAACCUGGGAACUGCGUCUGAUACUGCCGUGCUUGAGGACUGGAGAGGAGACUGGAAUUUACGGUGUAGCAGUGAAAUGCGUAGAGAUCGUAAGGAAGACCAGUGGCGAAGGCGGGUCUCUGGACAGUUCCUGACACUGAGGCACGAAGGCCAGGGGAGCAAACGGGG